rnacentral:rRNA from 1 species
CCAGACUCCUACGGGAGGCAGCAGUAGGGAAUUUUCGUCAAUGGGGGGAACCCUGAACGAGCAAUGCCGCGUGAGCGAGGAAGGUCUUCGGAUCGUAAAGCUCUGUUGCCGGGGACAAAAGGCAGAAAGAGUGGAAAGCUUUCUGAGUGAUGGUACCCGGCGAGGAAGUCACGGCUAACUACGUGCCAGCAGCCGCGGUAAUACGUAGGUGGCGAGCGUUAUCCGGAAUGAUUGGGCGUAAAGGGUGCGCAGGCGGCCGGGCAAGUCCGCAGUAAAAACUGGAGGCUCAACCUUCAGGGGCUGCGGAAACUGUCCGGCUGGAGAGCAGGAGAGGACGGUGGAACUCCAUGUGUAGCGGUAAAAUGCGUAGAUAUAUGGAAGAACACCGGUGGCGAAGGCGGCCGUCUGGCCUGCAUCUGACGCUGAGGCACGAAAGCGUGGGGAGCAAAUAGGAUUAGAUACCCUAGUAAC